rnacentral:rRNA from 1 species
GUGGGGAAUCUUGCGCAAUGGGCGAAAGCCUGACGCAGCCAUGCCGCGUGAAUGAUGAAGGUCUUAGGAUUGUAAAAUUCUUUCACCGGGGACGAUAAUGACGGUACCCGGAGAAGAAGCCCCGGCUAACUUCGUGCCAGCAGCCGCGGUAAUACGAAGGGGGCUAGCGUUGCUCGGAAUUACUGGGCGUAAAGGGCGCGUAGGCGGACAGUUUAGUCAGAGGAGAAAGCCCAGGGCUCAACCUUGGAAUUGCCUUUGAUACUGGCUGUCUUGAGUACGGGAGAGGUGAGUGGAACUCCGAGUGUAGAGGUGAAAUUCGUAGAUAUUCGGAAGAACACCAGUGGCGAAGGUGACUCACUGGCCCGUUACUGACGCUGAGGCGCGAAAGCGUGGGGAGCAAACAGGAUUAGAUACCCUGGUAGUCC